rnacentral:piRNA from 1 species
UGGGAGAAUUGAGAUCUUGUCUCCAAAAAA